rnacentral:misc_RNA from 1 species
GAGUGGUGAUUGACGUGUAUGGGUACGUUGGAUCCCUGCUUGGGCAGCGACAACGUACCUUACUUGUCUCUUCAGUUGUUGGCAUAGGCGUGCUGAGCCUUGGCCAAAUGAUGUUUUCCUGUGCUAUAUACCCAUUACAACGGUACUGAAUUUGCUCAAUUGCAUCUGUUCGCUUCUUGUUACGUCCCCUCGGAUUUUGGCAUGAAGUGAACGUUGAAGAAUUGAUCGUGUUCCACUUUCCUUGCAUGCCCGUGCUUGGGUUGUUGGGCCAUGAUGCUUGCUCGAUCUCUUGGUUGCGGAAUACCUUGUGGGCGUGAGGCAUUAGUCUCUAUUCUCGCCCUUUACUGAGCGUUUAACGCUACGUGCGAACGACAGUUGUGGACCGUUUUGAUUAGGUCAUUAUGGCUUGGCUCAUACGGUCCCAAAGUCGAUGAGGAAUGCUACCUGGUUGAUCCUGCCAGUAGUCAUAUGCUUGUCUCAAAGAUUAA